CGGCCGCGGGAAUUCGAUUAGAGUUUGAUCAUGGCUCAGAAUGAACGCUGGCGGCAUGCCUAACACAUGCAAGUCGAACGAAGGCUUCGGCCUUAGUGGCGCACGGGUGCGUAACGCGUGGGAAUCUGCCCUCAGGUUCGGAAUAACAGCGAGAAAUUGCUGCUAAUACCGGAUGAUAUCGCGAGAUCAAAGAUUUAUCGCCUGAGGAUGAGCCCGCGUAGGAUUAGCUAGUUGGUGUGGUAAAGGCGCACCAAGGCGACGAUCCUUAGCUGGUCUGAGAGGAUGAUCAGCCACACUGGGACUGAGACACGGCCCAGACUCCUACGGGAGGCAGCAGUGGGGAAUAUUGGACAAUGGGCGAAAGCCUGAUCCAGCAAUGCCGCGUGAGUGAUGAAGGCCUUAGGGUUGUAAAGCUCUUUUACCCGGGAUGAUAAUGACAGUACCGGGAGAAUAAGCUCCGGCUAACUCCGUGCCAGCAGCCGCGGUAAUACGAAUCACUAGUGAAUUCGCGGCCGCCUGCAGGUCGACCAUAUGGAGAGCUCCCAACGCG
rnacentral:rRNA from 1 species